rnacentral:tRNA from 1 species
GCUCGCAUAGCUCCAACGGUAGAGCAAUUGCAUGGUAAGCAAGAGGUUGUAGGUUCGAUUCCCACUGUGAGCACCA